UACGUAGGGGGCUAGCGUUGUCCGGAUUUACUGGGCGUAAAGCGCACGUAGGCGGUUUGUUAAGUGAGAGGUGAAAUCCCAGAGCUCAACUCUGGAGCUGCCUUUCAUACUGGCAAGCUAGAGUCCGGAAGAGGUAAGUGGAACUCCUAGUGUAGAGGUGGAAUUCGUAGAUAUUAGGAAGAACACCAGUGGCGAAGGCGGCUUACUGGUCCGGAACUGACGCUGAGGUGCGAAAGCGUGGGGAGCAAACAGG
rnacentral:rRNA from 1 species